rnacentral:rRNA from 1 species
GAUGAACGCUGGCGGCGUGCCUAAUACAUGCAAGUCGAGCGAACAGACGAGGAGCUUGCUCCUCUGACGUUAGCGGCGGACGGGUGAGUAACACGUGGAUAACCUACCUAUAAGACUGGGAUAACUUCGGGAAACCGGAGCUAAUACCGGAUAAUAUAUUGAACCGCAUGGUUCAAUAGUGAAAGACGGUUUUGCUGUCACUUAUAGAUGGAUCCGCGCCGCAUUAGCUAGUUGGUAAGGUAACGGCUUACCAAGGCAACGAUGCGUAGCCGACCUGAGAGGGUGAUCGGCCACACAGGAACUGAGACACGGUCCAGACUACUACGGGAGGCAGCAGUAGGGAAUCUUCCGCAAUGGGCGAAAGCCUGACGGAGCAACGCCGCGUGAGUGAUGAAGGUCUUCGGAUCGUAAAACUCUGUUAUUAGGGAAGAACAAAUGUGUAAGUAACUAUGCACGUCUUGACGGUACCUAAUCAGAAAGCCACGGCUAACUACGUG